GACGAACGCUGGCGGCGUGCUUAACACAUGCAAGUCGAACGGAAAGGCCCUGCUUUUGUGGGGUGCUCGAGUGGCGAACGGGUGAGUAACACGUGAGUAACCUGCCCUUGACUUUGGGAUAACUCCAGGAAACUGGGGCUAAUACCGGAUAGGAGCUCCUGCUGCAUGGUGGGGGUUGGAAAGUUUCGGCGGUUGGGGAUGGACUCGCGGCUUAUCAGCUUGUUGGUGGGGUAGUGGCUUACCAAGGCUUUGACGGGUAGCCGGCCUGAGAGGGUGACCGGCCACAUUGGGACUGAGAUACGGCCCAGACUCCUACGGGAGGCAACAGUGGGGAAUAUUGCACAAUGGGCGGAAGCCUGAUGCAGCAACGCCGCGUGCGGGAUGACGGCCUUCGGGUUGUAAACCGCUUUCGCCUGUGACGAAGCGUGAGUGACGGUAAUGGGGAAAGAAGCACCGGCUAACUACGU
rnacentral:rRNA from 1 species